rnacentral:rRNA from 1 species
AUAUCAGUAGGCGGAGGAAAAGAAAUUAACAAAGAUUGCCUUAGUAGUGGCGAACGAAGAGGCAAAAGCUCAAUGUUGUAAUCUGGGAUCUACGAUCUCCGAAUUGUAAUCUAGAGAGGCGAGCAAAAGGGAAAGCUAUCACAUAAGUUCUCUGAAAAGGGACGUCACAGAGGGUGAAAACCCACGUAGUUGGUGAUGGUAAUUCCGAAUGUUAGCACUCAACGAGUCGGGUUGUUUGGGAGUACAGCCCUAAAUGGGAGAUAAACUUCUUCUAAAGCUAAAUAUUUAUGGGAGACCGAUAGCGCACAAGUA